rnacentral:rRNA from 1 species
UGAGGAAUAUUGGUCAAUGGGCGGGAGCCUGAACCAGCCAAGCCGCGUGAGGGAAGACGGCGCUAAGCGUUGUAAACCUCUUUUGCCGGGGAACAAAGACAGGGACGCGUCCCUGGUUGCGUGUACCCGGAGAAAAAGCAUCGGCUAACUCCGUGCCAGCAGCCGCGGUAAUACGGAGGAUGCGAGCGUUAUCCGGAUUUAUUGGGUUUAAAGGGUGCGUAGGCGGCGGCUUAAGUCAGCGGUCAAAGCCCGGGGCUCAACCCCGGCGAGCCGUUGAGACUGGGUUGCUUGAGUUGGCGAGAAGUACGCGGAAUGCGCGGUGUAGCGGUGAAAUGCAUAGAUAUCGCGCAGAACUCCGAUUGCGAAGGCAGCGUACCGGCGCCAUACUGACGCUGAGGCACGAAAGCGUGGGGAUCGAACAGG